rnacentral:rRNA from 1 species
CAAAAACAUUGCUUUUUGAUAUUAAUAUAAAAAGUAACUCCUGCCCAGUGAAUUUUUCAACGGCCGCGGUAUUCUAACCGUGCAAAGGUAGCAUAAUCACUUGCCCAUUAAUUGUGGGCUGGAAUGAAUGGAUUAACGAAAUAAAAACUGUCUCUAUAAAUGAAAUAAAAAUUAAUCUUUAGCUGAAGAGUGCUAAAUAAAAUCGAAGGACAAGAAGACCCUAUAGAGCUUUAUUUAAAUCAAGGUAUAAAAUCCUUUAUAAAAUUCGGUUGGGGCGACCAAGGAUAUAAAAAUCAUCCUUAAAUUAAAGAUUUAUAUAUCAAAUAAAGACCCUUAAACAAGAACAAAAAAACAAGCUACCUUAGGGAUAACAGGCUAAUCCCAUUAAAGAGCCCUUAUCAAUAAUGGGGGUUGGCACCUCGAUGUUGGCUUAGGGAAACAAUGUGGCGCAAAAGCCACAUAAAGAUGGUUUGUUCAACCAAUAAAACCCUACGUGAUCU